rnacentral:rRNA from 1 species
AUGGGGACACCGAGGCGAGAAAUUAUGUUCGACAUGAUUGACAUAAGCAAUAUUGCAUGCUGGGACAGAGCUGGAGAGCGCGACACUGAUAUCGAGGACACCAUCAAACUGUUUGCCGAUAUGCAGAGGCGGAGGCCGGGAUUCCACCAUGUGGAAGAGACAGAGAACAAUGUAGUGUGGAGCCUGUUUUGGACAGACUCCUUGUGCAAGAUGAAUUAUGAUCUAUAUGGAGAUUUCGUGUCUUUUGACACGACAUUCUCUAUGAAUAGAUAUGGCUUGCCAUUUGCACCAAUUAUAGGUGUCGACAACCAUGGGUCGACCGUCCUGUUUGGACUAGGCCUUUUGAAAGAUGAGAAAAUAGGGUCAUUCAAGUGGCUCCUAAGCACGUUUGUCGAGGCAAUGGGGGGUAAAGAGCUGAAAUACAUAAUAACAGACCAGGACCAGGCGACGAAGACUGCAAUAAAGGAAGCUCUUCCGAGAACGAGGCACAGUGAGAGCACGAAUUCGAUGUGGAAGAAUUACGUCGACCACAGUGACACUAUAAAAAGGUUUGUUGAUGCGUAUCACAUGAUUCAGCAAAAUUGCCUCGCCACGCUUGACAAGAAAAGACACCGAACAGAAGAGAAGGCGCCAUCACUAGAGACGGGUUUUCCCAUUGAAAGACAGGCAAGUCAAGUAUACACCAAUGAAAUUUUCAGGAAAUUCCAGCUGGAGCUACAGAAUCGGACUUACUUCAAGUGCUCUGACCUGGCAAAGGGGAGGCAGUAUUUUUUAAAAAGGAUUACUGAGCCUGGAGAAAAAGUGUGGAAACCAUAUCCGGGCGAGGAAUUUGAGAGGUCUGAGUUCAGGGUAGAUGUGGAUGAGCAAAAAGAAAUAUACAGUUGCAGCUGCAAGAAAAGGAGUAGGGAUGACAUCCAGUGCUGCCAUGUGCUUAAGGUGAUGGACCAAACAAGCAUGAUCAAUCAACUUCCAAAAUCCUUUGUCAUCCCCAAAUGGACCAGGAAUCUAUCAGAGAGUCUGAAAGUUCUGUCUACAAGUCAAGGUGAUAGCAUGACCGCACAAGAUGAUGAAACGAUGAGAUUCGGCCUCGCUUACGCUGAGUUGUCGGAUAUCUGUUCAAAUGCUUGCAGAAAUAGAAGGCAUACAGUGUUCUGCGAACCAAACACAGGCAUUGUUGCCGAAACUCUCAAGAACCCUCCCAUGAGUGGCUCAAAGGGCAUGAAAAAAGGAGAUCGAAUCAAAGUUGGUUCUGAGAAGAAAGGAAAAGGCAACAAAGCCAUAUCCAAGUGCGGUCGUUGUCGAGAAAAGGGUCACAGGAAAACAAACUGCCCGGAUAACCCAGAAGUACAGGAGAGGAUGAGGAUUGAAGAGGAGAAGAGGAAAUCGCAACAGGAGAAGAGGGCAAGGUCAAUGAAAUGGCCGACAACACCGACAACACCAUCGAGGACAUCAAACGGCUUAGGACAAUGCACUCCAAGCCCAGGAGGAAGACAUCAGACGGUAGCAACUCCAACGACCCCACUGACAGCAAGGAGCAUUUACCAAAGUCUUGCAUCUACGCCAGAAUCGAACAUCACACAAGCCAGGCACACAGAAUGCAUGCAGGGAAGCCCGGGACAAGGCACGGAAUCUGCGCAGUCCAUUUUCAGAAAGGAAAGGUCUGAGUGGAGACUUUUUGGUACCGGAGAGCAGUACGAAAAGAAAAAUUAA